CUCGUCCGUCAAACAUCUUCCAUUAAUCGAAUCACCGAUAUUGUCGGACCCUCGGAGUAACGUCAGAAGUAAAAAAGAAAUAAUCAGCGGAUCAAAAACAUCUCAUGGAUUGCCUAAUUAAUCAUGUCAAAUGCCGGAGCCAAUCGAGCGUCAUAUAACUCUUUGUAUGUAUAUGGAAAAGACAUUUUCUUCGGAUGUCUUUACUGAUUUCUGGCAGAAUUCUAGCUCGAUAUCAAAAACCGAUUCAGAACAUUUGAAAAAUACACCUGGCAUCCUUGGUAGCGAGUGUUUACUUCUUUCGCAUCGAUUGAAACGAGUGAAAAAAAUUACGGAAAAUGUACCGGUAAUAUUGAAUCAAGUGAACAAUGAUGAUUAAUUUUGCGAUGUGAAGAAACCGAAAUAGUCAUCCUAAAAGUACGGUCAUAGCUACUACUCUUUUCAGAAGAACAAAUGGAAGGCCCUUGCAGUUUGUUUCAUCAAUGAGCACAUUGAUGGAUAAACGGCUGUUAAUGGAACGGCUAAAUGACAAAUACAAAUACAAACCAUUCACAAUCGCACACUUAUCGUGUCUAAGAAUUUCGAAGCAGAUUCGAAUGAAACCUAUGCAACUCGAUACAAUGUUCACAUUAUUACGGAUAACAUAUACAGCGGUAUUAUGACCAAUAUGACCAUCAGUACGGUCUGUGCAGUGUCCUGGGAUAAAAAUUUUACAGCGAACCAGUAAGACUUCAACAAUCAGUCACGCUUUUCUUGAGUUAUCGACAAAGCGGAAGUAUACAAAGUAUUGCUAUUAUGCUCCUUUGUCGCGUUGGAUCUAAUUGAACAAAAAACUGACGAUGCUGCCCAAGGAAUUCUUGAAUAAUUUAGCGCUAAUAUCUUGGCUGAUACUAAGUUAUAGCUUACAACAUUACUAUCAUUCACGAAGGUAUGCUCUUCAAAUUGCCUGACAGCAAGCAGUUUUUGUCACGCUUUACCUAUAAAUGUGAUUUACUACACACCAAUGGUUACGAUUUUCGGACAAUGGAUGAAUAAUUGUAUAACUUUAUGAAGAUUAGAAGCAUCUUCGAGGAAACAUCGCAUCCCACCAGUUUUAUUCAAAUUGAACACAGCAAGCAUAUUUAUAUAGCACCGCGCCAUAAAGCAUAAGGCAUGCAACAGUCAUCGGAUUAUUCGCAACAACGUCGAUAUGCUUCAUACCAUUAUCAUGUGGAAUAUUUGACAGUACUGCCGACUAUAAUAUAUGGAAGGAUAGUAUUACAUACUGCAUUUAGUUAGUAAGGCUAAGAAAAAGUCAAUUGCAGAAUACGUGAAUGGCAUUGGUUGUAAGAAGAUGAUGUUAGUUGUUGUCUAAACAAAGGAAUCGCUAGUUCACUGAUCAUUCAGAAUAUAUGUUGAAAAGUUAAAUUAACAUGAAAUUAUGCUUUUUAGUAUUUUUAUAAUCAAACAUAUAUCCAGAAAAUCCAUCUUAAUUUAAAAAAACUUAUCAGCUGGUACAACCAGUAUCAUUCCUGAAAUCAACAAUAGCAUUAGAUGUUAAAACCAAGACCAUUCCUAAAAUCAACAGCAACCAUUAUUAAAAUCAACAACAACACUAGCUGUUACUACCAGGACCAUUCUUAAAAUCAACAACAAUAUUAGCUGUAACAACUCAUUUGAUAAGCUGUAUUGGAUGGUGUGUGUCUAUGCUAACUGACAGCAUCAUAUUUUUAACUAGACGUUUUAGUUGUUUCAGCCAAUGUUUUGUUGUCACAAAAACAAAAACGACAAAUUAGAAAAAUCAACAAUCGAUUAGCUGUCCCAAAUUUUAACUAGCUGAUUUCAGAAAUAUGACUAAUAAUUUAGUUGCUAUACGAUCCAGAGUGUUUCCGUGCGUUCUUUCAAAAAUUGUUGUUUCCCUUGAACCACUUGACUGGAAGCUGUGAUCGCGAGUAGUCCAUCGUAUCGUGGAAUAGACAUGUGAGUUAGCUAGAGUGAACCUAAAAUUAAGAGUAUUAACGUGCUAUUUAAAAACUCUAGGGCCAAUACGCUUAGAUAGUUUAAAAGGCGAUUAGUGCCAAGGUUUAGUCCUGUAGGAGAAACGUGCUCAGUGACAUAUGGUAAGCUUGACGCUUUGUCGGUAUAUUCGGGUAAUUGAAGGUGACGCCCGUUAAACAACAUUAAACCCACUACUGUUCAACGUGUUUUUUGCCUUUCUCAAUAGAAAGGUAUUGCAAUUGCUCUG